CCUGAUGUUAGCGGCGGACGGGUGAGUAACACGUGGGUAACCUGCCUGUAAGACUGGGAUAACUCCGGGAAACCGGGGCUAAUACCGGAUGGUUGUUUGAACCGCAUGGUUCAAACAUAAAAGGUGGCUUCGGCUACCACUUACAGAUGGACCCGCGGCGCAUUAGCUAGUUGGUGAGGUAACGGCUCACCAAGGCAACGAUGCGUAGCCGACCUGAGAGGGUGAUCGGCCACACUGGGACUGAGACACGGCCCAGACUCCUACGGGAGGCAGCAGUAGGGAAUCUUCCGCAAUGGACGAAAGUCUGACGGAGCAGCGCCGCGUGAGUGAUGAAGGUUUUCGGAUCGUAAAGCUCUGUUGUUAGGGAAGAACAAGUACCGUUCAAAUAGGGCGGUACCUUGACGGUACCUAACCAGAAAGCCACGGCUAACUACGUGCCAGCAGCCGCGGUAAUACGUAGGUGGCAAGCGUUGUCCGGAAUUAUUGGGCGUAAAGGGCUCGCAGGCGGUUUCUUAAGUCUGAUGUGAAAGCCCCCGGCUCAACCGGGGAGGGUCAUUGGAAACUGGGGAACUUGAGUGCAGAAGAGGAGAGUGGAAUUCCACGUGUAGCGGUGAAAUGCGUAGAGAUGUGGAGGAACACCAGUGGCGAAGGCGACUCUCUGGUCUGUAACUGACGCUGAGGAGCGAAAGCGUGGGGAGCGAACAGGAUUAGAUACCCUGGUAGUCCACGCCGUAAACGAUGAGUGCUAAGUGUUAGGGGGUUUCCGCCCCUUAGUGCUGCAGCUAACGCAUUAAGCACUCC
rnacentral:rRNA from 1 species